GUGAAUCAUCAAAUCUUUGAACGCAAAUUGCACUCUCCGGUUUUCCGGGAGAGUAUGCCUGUUUGAGGGUCAGCCUAAAAAAAAAUCGAGAUUGUUGCUGUUAUUUAAUGGUGACUUUCGUCGGAGAUUGGGUUAUCUUAAACCCUUUUUUUUUUUUUUUAAGGGUUUUUAAAUUUUUUUUUCGUAUUCCUUGAACGUUUUUA
rnacentral:misc_RNA from 1 species